AUGAACGCUAGCGGCAGGCUUAAUACAUGCAAGUUGAGGGGCAGCAUGAUAUACGCGAGUAUAUUGAUGGCGACCGGCGGACGGGUGAGUAAUAGGUAGGAGACUUACCUCAUACAGGGGGAUAGCAUAGAGAAAUCUGUGGUAAUACCCCAUGAGGUUAUAUGAAUAGAGGCAUAUAAUCAAAGCAUAAGCGAUUAUGCGGUAUGAGAGGGGCCUACUGACCAUUAGCUAGUUGGUGAGGUAAGGGCUCACCAAGGCGAAGAUGGUUAGGGGUUUUGAGAGAGAGACCCCCCACAUUGGAACUGAGAGACGGUCCAGACUCCUACGGGAGGCAGCAGUAGGGAAUAUUGGGCAAUGGGCGAAAGCCUGACCCAGCCAUGCCGCGUGAAGGAAGACGGCCUUAUGGGUUGUAAACUUCUUUACUACGCGAAUAGAGGUUAGUACGAGAUACUAAUAGGAAGGUAGUGUAGUAAAAAGCACCGGCUAACUCCGUG
rnacentral:rRNA from 1 species